rnacentral:rRNA from 1 species
GACGAACGCUGGCGGCGUGCCUAAUACAUGCAAGUCGAACGCAGUGGGGACGGGUGAGUAACACGUGGGUAACCUCCCAUCAGAGGGGAUAAAACUUGGAAACAGGUGCUAAACCGAUACUGAUGGAUGGACCCGCGGGGCAUUCGCUAGUUGGUGAGGUAACGGCUCACCAAGGCCACGAUGCAUAGCCGACCGGAGAGGGUGAUCGGCCACACUGUGACUGUGACACGGCCCAGCCUCCUCCGGGAGGCAGCAGUAGGGCAUCGUCGGCAAUGGACGAAAGUCUGACCACGCCACUCCGCGGGAGUUAAGAAGGUUUUCGGAUCGUAACACUCUGUUGUUCGAGAAGCGGUAUCUAACCAGAAAGCCACGGCUAACUACGUGCCAGCAGCCGCGGUAAUAC